rnacentral:rRNA from 1 species
UACGAAGGGGGCUAGCGUUGCUCGGAAUCACUGGGCGUAAAGCGCACGUAGGCGGAUCUUUAAGUCAGGGGUGAAAUCCCAAGGCUCAACCUUGGAACUGCCUUUGAUACUGGGGAUCUCGAGUCCGGAAGAGGUGAGUGGAACUGCGAGUGUAGAGGUGAAAUUCGUAGAUAUUCGCAAGAACACCAGUGGCGAAGGCGGCUCACUGGCCCGGUACUGACGCUGAGGCGCGAAAGCGUGGGGAGCAAACAGG